rnacentral:rRNA from 1 species
GGCUGACUGUACCGGUGGAGGAAGCCACGGCUAACUCUGUGCCAGCAGCCGCGGUAAUACAGAGGUGGCAAGCGUUGUUCGGAAUUACUGGGCGUAAAGGGCGCGUAGGCGGUUCGGUAAGUCCCGCGUGAAAUCCCCCGGCUCAACUGGGGAACUGCGCGGGAAACUGCCGGGCUUGAGUUCGGGAGAGGGAAGCGGAAUUCCGGGUGUAGCGGUGAAAUGCGCAGAUAUCCGGAGGAACACCGGUGGCGAAGGCGGCUUCCUGGACCGACACUGACGCUGAGGCGCGAAAGCUAGGGGAGCAAACGGGAUUAGAUACCCGUGUAGUC